AUUCAUUUUGCUACAAGGUCUCUACAUGAAACCAUCUGGUGCUGGGCGAAGCAGGCUAUUGAUGAUGAUUUCAAGAAACUCCUCAGGCUGCUGUUUUUGGAAGUUUGCAUUUUGCUGAACACAGUGUUCUGGAAGGACAAAAGA